rnacentral:rRNA from 1 species
CCUACGGGUGGCAGCAGUGGGGAAUAUUGCACAAUGGGGGAAACCCUGAUGCAGCGACACCGCGUGAGUUAAGAAGUAUUUCGGUAUGUAAAGCUCUAUCAGCAGGGAAGAAAAUGACGGUACCUGACUAAGCAGCCCCGGCUAACUACGUGCCAGCAGCCGCGGUCAUACGUAGGGGGCAAGCGUUAUCCGGAUUUACUGGGUGGAAAGGGAGCGUAGACGGCGGAACAAGUCAGAAGUGAAAACCCGGGGCUCAACCCUGGGAGUGCUUUUGAAACUGUUUGGCUGGAGUGCAGGAGAGGUAAGCGGAAUUCCUAGUGUAGCGGUGAAAUGCGUAGAUAUUAGGAGGAACACCAGUGGCGAAGGCGGCUUACUGGACUGUAACUGACGUUGAGGCUCGAAAGCGUGGGGAGCAAACAGGAUUAGAUACCCUUGUAGUC